rnacentral:lncRNA from 10 species
GGCUACAUGAGCACAGAAAGUCCAAAUCACGAAUUUUUUUAGAGCUGGCAGAGACUCUACAAAUCAACUCCAUCCCCCUCAUUGUGGAAAUAAGGAAACUGAGAUGAGAAGAGGCGGGGAAGGGAGAGGAGGGGAGAGGAAGGAAGGAGAGGGGAGGAAAGGAGAAGACAGGAGAGAUUCAUUCAUGUUUGCACAGUACAGAGAACAGAAGUUGCAUCUCCUAACUCUUUAAUGUCUCAAAUAGGAAUCAUUCUGGAUUCCAGACUCGCCAUGGAGAUGGGGCUGCCAGUGAGGAUCUCUCUCCUCUACUGCUCUCCUGCAGGCCCAUGCCUUCCAUCUGUUACUGACUACUAAGCCUCCCUUUCCAUCCCUUCCCUGGGCUUGGCUUACAGGUGUCCAGUGGAAGUGUCCACAGGCAGGGCCAGCUUCACAGGAAAGAAACCUGGACGGUCCCACAAGACCCCACAUAUAGAAAGACCCUGUGCUUUACUUAAAUUUCUGCUGCCACCGUCUUGAAAUUCUUAGUAGUUUUUGAACAUACAGGGACCCCCCACAUUUUCAUUUUGCACUGGGCACUUACAACUACAUAGCCAGUCCCAUCCACAGUACAUACCACAUGAAUUAGUCACCUUUGACUAGCUAGCAAGAAACACAAAGCUUCAGAAUCUCCCUCUCACCCUGAGUGUGGGUGGAACCCAGAGCGAUGACAAUGCUACAGUGACCUCACCCACAUUUCUCUUCCAGGGAGGGUCAAGAGUGUGAGCAAGAAGAUCAAUAAAAAUUAUCACUAAGCAUCCUCCCUCCCUGGGCUUCGGGUUCCAGAAAACAACCCUUGUCCCCCAGCCCCAACUACCUAUCUGUGAAUAUACAGCAAGUGCCCCCUUGGCCUAAUUAACUAACCUCUCUGAGCCCCUGUUCUUUCUUUCCUCCAAUUAUAAAGGCCAUAAAUGCUCAUUACAGAAAAAUUGAAAACUACAGGAAAAUAGAAGGAAGAAAAGGUCACCUGCCUUAUUUAACACACAUAUUUUCUCUAUAAGGUACAUCGCAGCCUUACUAUCUGAGCGUCAUCACUGUUAACACUUUCGAGUUUUCCUUCUGGCCUUCGUUCCAUGCCUACACUUUUUCACAUAUGUAAGGAAAGACCACCUUCUUCCCAGCAAGAAACAGUAUUGGUCAUCUUGGGAGCUUCUGCUGCUGGUGGCCUAGAGAGCCAGAUGAAGGAGUAGAGAAAUGGCAGCUGACUGCAGGAUGGUACAAGAAGGGGAGGAGAGGAGAGAUACAUCCAGAAGCUGGAAACUAGUUCAGCCCUUUGAUGUCAUCCUCUAAGGAGACAGAGCAGAAUGGAGAAAACAGUUGUCUGGAACUGAGCCCAAAAUUAUCUCAGAGGUAUGCCUAUAUAAACAUGGGGCUUAGAGAAAUGCUUCUCUAGCCAGUUUUUCCCCCACUAGAGAAAGGAGAUUAAAACAUUCUAAGGAUAGAAAAAGAGUUGGAAGACUAUUCAGAGUGAGAAAUUCAUGAGAAUCUCGGCUCCUAACCAGUCCCCGAAGGUGAUCUCCAAGAUAAGAGGAUGACAGAACCCCUCAACACAUUCCGAUCUGACAGAGGAGAGGGGACUUUCACCCCGCCCCUUGUCGAGACUCCCAGGAGGUGACAGCCUUGCAGUACUUUCUUGUACUGUUAAGGCAUGGAACAGUUCUAUAGAAUGGCAACCAACAUGCUGGGGCAACCCCACAAGACUCCCUUGGCCCCAUGUAAUGUGUAAGCCAAAUUUCCCCACGUCUCCCAGUGGGGUGUAAAAGUCAACCAGUGGAGAAGAGCUGGUCCUGCAGUCAAGAGAAGGGAAAGCCGCAGCAAAGACAAACAUGGGCCAUAUGGUCCGAGGCCCAGGAAAGGCGGGCUUCAUGAUGGAUGCCAAAGUAGAAUGAGGGAAACACACAUUUGCACCUCCGAAGCUGUCAGCCUAAGGCAGAGUAUGACUGCAGACCAGCCACACACACGUGCACACACAAUCACACACACACACACUCUCUCUCCCUCUCCCUCUCUCUCUCACACACACAUACUCUCUCACACACACACACACUCCCUCUCUCCCUCUCUCUCUCACACACACACACACAUACUCUCUCUCACACACACACACACAUACUCUCUCUCUCUCACACACACACACACUCUCUCUCUCUCUCACACACACACACACACACACACUGCCAUGGCACGGAACUGAGAUCCAUCAAAGGGAUGUGGUCAGAAGGAAAAAAAAUCCCAAACUGAAUUCUCAUCCAAAAUCACUGAGGACACCAAUACGUCACUGAGGAAAAAUACACUGGAAUUGUUUAUACUAUAAGAGAGAAGACAUGUUCAAGACAGAAAUUAGGUCUGUUAUAGAGAAAUUUACUUUUUUGCAUACCUAAGUUCAUGGCCCAUAAAAAUCAUACCUACGACACAUUGUCUUAAAAGUGCAGUCUGAUUCGCCAUAGCCAAAACCAAAAGGCAGAGCAACCCAAGUACCCACUGGCAGGUCAUAGACAAACAAUAUGUGGUCUACACACACAAUGAAAUGUUACUCAGCUCUGAAGAGGAAGAACAUUCUGACACGUGUUACAAUAUGGCUAAGCCUGGAAGCCAUUAUGCUAAUGAAAUAAGCCAGUCCAGUCACAAAAGGAUAAAUACUGUGUGGUUCUACUGACAUGUAGUAGCCAGAAUUGUCUAAUUCAUAGAGAUGGAAAGUACAAUGAAGGUUGCUAGAGCUAGGAAGAGGGGUAAAAGGGAGUUAUUAUUUAAUGGGUACAGAAUUUCAGUUGCAAGGGCAGGCACAGUGGCUCACGCCUGUAAUCCCAGCACUUUGGGAAGCCAAGGUGGGUGAAUCACCUGAGGUCAGGAGUUCAAGACCAGCCUGGCCAACAUGGCAAAACCCCGUCUCUACUAAAAAUACAAAAAAUUAGCCAGGCUUGGUGGUGGGCACCUGUAGUCCCAGCUACUCGG